UGCAAAAAUGCGCAAGUGCUCUCCUUGCCACUUCCAUGGACUCAUGAUCUCCAUCUAGAUGCCAAAUCUAGCAUAGCCACUCUUCUUCAACCUUUUUUCAGAUCCCCUUUCCACUACCCUCUCGAACGCACUACAAAGACUCGAUCAAACAAAAAUGGGCGCUCUCCUAAAGCUGAAGCUAGCCGAUGCAAAAGCUCCUAGGCCACGAUUCAGGACUUGGCUGGCCGACUCCUCUCUCCGAAACCACGAUGCCGACGACCAUUAGCGCACGCAUGCCAUCCUGAGCUUCCAGAAUAACGUCACCAUCGUUACCGACGACCCCUGCUUGACCACCAGCGAUCAUUAGUGUCGGCUCCGGCGAGCUUGGUCGAGAGGCCCUGUUUUCCUUUUUGUGUUUCCGUUUUUAAGAGCUGUCUAUAGGGCGGAUAUUAUUCUUUGCAACCGCUGUUUCCCCCGUAGUUUUGGCUUCAUAUACCCCCGAGAGUUAAAAUCACAAAACAAUCCAAAUUGUGGGUCCCAAGCGUAGCAGUAGUCGGCCAUGGACGAGCGACACCGUCGGCGCCGACCACGACUGACCGCAUCCCGCCAUGGCUAAAUCUGAAUUCGGAUGCGAAUAAGUGGUUUUUAGUUCUUAUCUAACAUUCCAUUAAAAUAGAAUAUGAAAGCCAAUCAAUUUAAGAUCCUCCUCUCUCUCUUUUCUCUGCUUCUUCGCCACCUCGGUUGAUGCUUUACUGCACUCACUCGACAUCGACUCUUUGCAUCUCCAGUCGAUCAAAAGCUACUGUAAUCACCUCAUAAAAUCUCAACACAGAGUCGGGCCUCAAGUUUCUCGAUGACUUCCUCUCAUAAAAACUUACAUCUCCGGAGAUCAGCUCAUGAAGGACGACAUAAAGGUGUACGCUGCAGUUGUGGAGAAGCCUGGAGGACCAUUCCCUAAUUUGGGGUGAAAAUAGCGGCCGCCUUGUUCUUUUGGAGAGAUUCCUCCUCUUUUAUUUUUCCCUAGACUGCUUCCACCAUUUUUAGAUUGUGAGACCAUAUGUUUAUUUUAGAGUGAAAGACAUUUUUCAAUUGAUUCUUCAUCUUA